GCAUGAAUGAAAUCGUAGAGAAGGAGGACUUCUUCUUUUAUUUACCAACGAGACUUUCCUUCACCAUCUUUCUUGUCAAAUUUAUUCGUAGGCCCACUUAGUCUUCUUUUAUAUUCAGUUAGAGCGAAGACCUGAUACACUCCAAGUGAAAAGAUAAGGGGUAUCAGGAAAGGAAGACAAUCGGAAAAAGAAAAACGAAAAUAUAAUUAAACUCUUUUAUUUGACUUAGCAGUAAUAUAUAUUACAUUUUCUAUAAUGAUAAUGAGAUCGUUAUUGAAGAUUAUGGCACUUCGAAUAAAUCUGAAUCAACAAAACAAUAUGAUAAAAUAUCAUCGGAAGUAAAUAUUUUUUGGUCUGUUAAUAUAUCGCACCAAAUGGACGGUUCUCCUUCGAUAAGAUUUUUCACGAGUACUUUCAAUUGUGGCGGAGGAAUAAGAGAUACGAAUACUCUUGGUAUAUUGUCACGAAGUAUUCUUAAAGUUUCAACGAUAUCCCGUUCGUGAUUUUGCAAUAUUUCCGGUAACGAAGGCUUCGUGCAAAAAAACAAACAAAAAUCGUUGGAACCUAUCAUCAAAGAGAUGUGCUAAAAAGAGAAAGAAAAAAACAAGACGAACAGGUAAUUUGAAAGACGAAGAUCAAAAAUAAAAGUAAGGAAAUAAAAAUAACAAACAUAAUAACACCUUCCAAUGCUUUUGCAUAUUCACUUUAGGAUCAUUUUUCA